AGUGGGGAAUAUUGCACAAUGGGGGAAACCCUGAUGCAGCCAUGCCGCGUGUGUGAAGAAGGCCUUCGGGUUGUAAAGCACUUUCAGUAGGGAGGAAAGGUUGUAAGUUAAUACCUUGCAGCUGUGACGUUACCUACAGAAGAAGGACCGGCUAACUCCGUGCCAGCAGCCGCGGUAAUACGGAGGGUCCAAGCGUUAAUCGGAAUUACUGGGCGUAAAGCGUGCGCAGGCGGUUUGCUAAGCGAGAUGUGAAAGCCCCGGGCUCAACCUGGGAAUUGCAUUUCGAACUGGCAAACUAGAGUCUUGUAGAGGGGGGUAGAAUUCCAGGUGUAGCGGUGAAAUGCGUAGAGAUCUGGAGGAAUACCGGUGGCGAAGGCGGCCCCCUGGACAAAGACUGACGCUCAGGCACGAAAGCGUGGGGAGCAAA
rnacentral:rRNA from 1 species